ACAAAAAGUGAGUUUUUCAUCAGUAAGGUGAAAUUGAAACAUAUGAAGUUGCCCUUCUAUAAAGGUUGGGCAACGACUUGGCCCAAAUUGUUUCUCCUUCCAAUCGAAACUAAUCAAGACGGGCCGAGCCCUGAAAUAUAGUAGAGGCACUCAGCUUGCCGUUGCCUGCCCGGCAUCAAACAAUCCUGUUCUUGUCUUAACAGACGUCAAUUGCUUAGAAACUGAAGCAAAAGACCAUUCUGCUACACGCUAAUCUGGAUACCGACUGUAUAGCCAUGAACUGCAGCAUCCAAUCUCACUCUCCAGUUUGAUUCAAUAAUGAAUUCAGCGCUUUACUUCUGUUUGGGUGUAUUCGUCGCCCCAGCUUUCAUCUCCAUGCACUACGAUGAAUUUAACAAGACAAGCGAGGACACAAGGCCUAAUGACGAUAAUCCCUCAGAUGAAGAUUGGAGCACGGCCACCGACAGCGUGAGCAAAAGGCGGAGAACCGGAGCCCAGCAGGCCACUGGCUUUUAAGUAUCCAGUGUUGCCCUCCUCUAUUUUAUAUUGUCUAUUACUCUACUAGUAUCAUUAUUAGCAUCUUGACUUGAAAGAAAAGAGGUAAAUUAUGGGUCAGAAUUCAACAACGCACAUUGAAAUGAGACAAUCAUUAUAAAGAGGAAGAGUUUUCAACCAA